rnacentral:rRNA from 1 species
GGGGAAUAUUGGACAAUGGGCGCAAGCCUGAUCCAGCCAUGCCGCGUGAGUGAUGAAGGCCCUAGGGUUGUAAAGCUCUUUCACCGGUGAAGAUAAUGACGGUAACCGGAGAAGAAGCCCCGGCUAACUUCGUGCCAGCAGCCGCGGUAAUACGAAGGGGGCUAGCGUUGUUCGGAAUUACUGGGCGUAAAGAGUGCGUAGGCGGUUUUCUAAGUUCGGUGUGAAAUCUCCCGGCUUAACUGGGAGGGUGCGCCGAAGACUGGGAAGCUGGAGUGUGGGAAAGGCAGGCGGAAGUCCUGGUGUAGCGGUGAAAUGCGUAGAUAUCAGGAGGAACACCGGCGGUGUAGACGGCUUGCUAGACCAUAACUGACGCUGAGGCACGAAAGCGUUGGUAGCAAACA